GCUGUGAACGGGAUAUUUUAGGAGGCUCGAGAGCAGCGAGCGUCUCACCCUGGAGGAGCUGGAGCUGGCUGCCCGUCUCACUGUCUGUCUGCAGGAACCGAGGGAGCCUCUGACUUCAGGCCGAGCUGGAGCGUCGCUGAGACGGUGUGAGGACGGUAGAUGUGGCGCCGAGGAGCGGAGGACAUCACCGGAGAGAGAGAGGCUUUAACUGGGAUUUACUGACCUGCAGCUGGACACAAUUAUUUAAAGGAGUCUGAGGGCGAUGUGGAGGCAUAGAUCUGCUCAGACGCACUGAUUCAGAGAGCUGAGUGCCGGCUGGGGAGCGUCAGCAGCGGCAGCCCCUUCCCUGUGAGAGAGACCAAACCAUUCAACAACGUCGAAAGUUGCUUACUUCAAGAGGAAAUAUGCGGAGGAGGAGGAUUUACACGGAGGCUUACAUGGAUAUUUUCAAAAACACCUGAUACUGCAGGAGGACCGGAGCUGCAUCCUGAAGCUGUCCUUGGAGAAGCUGAGGUUCCUGGAGGACCCCGAGGCCUACCUGCGGCGCUCCGUCCUCAUCAACAACCUGCUGAGGAAGAUCCACCAUGAGGAGGAGGAGCUGGAGGCUGAAGAGGAGGAAGAAGAAGAGGAUGAUGAGGUAGAAGAAGAGGAAGAAGAAGAAGAAGAGGAGGAGGAGGUCAUCGGAGAGAGGGGGCAGCGGAGUCUGUUGUACUCGGACAGGAAGAGGGUAAAGGUGCUGGUGAUGGACUGCUGCUCUCCGGCGUUUGGUCUGGAGGAGCUCCAGCGUUACCGCCUGAUGCCCUGUUACCCGUCAGCCGGAUGCUUGUACAGCCUGGGAACCUGCCCGGGCCUCGCCCCCAACCACCAGGUUCUUCUAUACAACCUGGACGACAACGGAUGACUGUCCAAACCUCACUUUUCAGGCCUCAUUUCAAAGCUGGGAAAUGCAACAUCAGUUCAUGUUACGAGCACGUGGACAUAUAGCCUACUGUUUGUUCAAAAUCACCAGGAGGAAAGCUGCCGUCGAUUUCCUUCUAAAAACCUUUGACGGACAUGUGUCGUGGGGUCUGUUUUGUUUGUUGCCAGGAAUGUCACCUCCUCUCGUCUCCUUGCUAAGAGGCAGCGGUGGAUUUGAGAAAAACCCUAAUUCUUCUUCUUCUGCUUCAGGAUCAACAGGGUCUCUGAUGUUGAUGUCAAUCUCUGUCGCAGCGUCACUGCCAUUUUACUAUACGUGCAAAUGCGAGAGACUUCAAGCAGGCUGUUGAUGUUGUGUUAUGGAUUUUUAUUGUUAUUGUUGCUCAUGAGAACCGUGAGCGUAUUCAGGGAUUUUCAGACUGCAGGCUACUUUUUUGAUGCAUCAUGGCUUGCGUGAAGAAUACGUGCUGGUAUGCUUCUGUUAUCUUUUUCGGCUACUGUGUGAUGAAAUAUUCUGUGUAACAUUCCCUGGAGUGUGUGAAUCGUCAUGCUAUCUCAAGAUACUACAUUCUCUGAAGUGCGUUUACUGCUUGUGGGAAGACUGUUUCUCUGUAUUUAAUGUCCUGUGUUUUGCAUCACUUUGCUGCCCUCUGCUGGUAAAAUAAUUCAUCUGGAAGCCCUUUUCAGUGGCUGCUGUGUUGAAAUCUCUCAACGCAGGUGAAAGAUAACAAAUUAUGUUAACACUUUACGUUAAAUCCCCCAAUUUAGCAUUUACAAGCAGUAUGUAAACAUUUAAUAAAUGAUUUAUAAGACACUUUAAUGCAGCUAUGAGUGUUUAUUAAUGUAACUGUAGGCACCCACAGAUGGGUUGGGAGUUGAAGUUAUAAUUGUCACCAAAUACUGUACAUUAAUACAUACUUAUAAAGUCCUCAUGUCUGAAUACAAUGGCAUUAUCAAGUGUUAAAAAACAUUUAUUAAAUGUUUACAUAGUGCUCAUAAUGCUGAAUAGUCGGGGUUAAAGUUGUACUGAAAAUAGGAUGAAAUUACUUCUUUGACGUUUUCACUUUUUUUGUUAUAAAGCAAAAUAAGUCUAAUAAUAAUAAGUCAAUAAGUCAUGUUUUGUGUUUCAAAAAAAGGAAAAAUUCAGCUCUAAGUAGUCGCAGCAUUUUAUUUUCUACUACCGAAUAAUUCGUUUGUGAAUGAUUUUAAGCACUAUGGUGUUUUGAAGCUAAAUUUCAGAGAGCAGAAUGUCUUUAAUUUGAUAUUAUAUUCCAUAUUUUCUAACAAUCAGUGACUAACCUGCUAUAUGACAACGGUGAUUAAUGAUUCAUCCUUUUUCAGUGUCUUUCUGUGUUUUGAGUGUUCAGUCCAACAGUCUCACUUGGUUUGAAACUUUGCAUCAUGAUAACAAUCACUGCUAUGGAAAAAACAACAACAACAAACUGCAGGCAACUAUUAAAGAGAAGCAUGAUAUUUUAAAACAAGAAUUUAUAUUUUGAUGAAAAUGCAUAUUCCAUAUUUAAGAUAAACUAUUUUGAAAAAGGCCAGUAAACUUUUUUUCAGGUGAUUGAUUAUCAAAUAAAGUAUGUAAGGUGACAAUGUU